rnacentral:rRNA from 1 species
CGUAGGUGCGAGCGUUAAUCGGAAUUACUGGGCGUAAGCGUGCGCAGGCGGUUUGUAAGACAGAUGUGAAAUCCCCGGGCUCAACCUGGGAACUGCAUUUGUGACUGCAAGGCUGGAGUGCGGCAGAGGGGAUGGAAUUCCGCGUGUAGCAGUGAAAUGCGUAGAUAUGCGGAGGAACACCGAUGGCGAAGGCAAUCCCCUGGGGCCUGCACUGACGCUCAUGCACGAAAGCGUGGGAGCAAACAGGAUU